UGUUUUGGUAUUUCUUUAAGCUUUAAUGCUUCUGUAGAGGUAAUUACCCUUUCUUUAUCUAAAGAAAUAAAGGGAAGGGUUCCCGGCUUAGAGCCAGUGGCUAUAAUACUAUUUUUAGCCUCGAUGAUUUGGGUAUCUUUACCUUCAAUUUUUAUAUGGGUUGCAUCAAUAUAACUUCCCAAGCCUUCGAUAAUAUGAAUAUUAUUUUUAUUUUAUGGUUCAAAUAAAAGUUGUAUAGUGUUUUCUAGAAAAAGCUUCUUAAAAUAAAUUGAACCGUACCUUAAACCGACACAGGUGAACAAGUUUAGUAAACUAAGGCGCUUGAGAGAAUUAUGUUGAAGGAACUCGGCAAAAUGACUCCGUAACUUCGGAAUAAGGAGUGACUUUAUGGGGGUAACCCUGUAGAGUUGUCACAAAAUCGGGGACAGCGACUGUUUAAUAAAAACACAGGUCUCUGCUAAUUCGUAAGAAGAUGUAUUGAGACUGACGCCUGCCCAGUGCUGCAAGAUUAAAGGAAAAGGUCUUUUGGCUUUGACCCUAACUCCCAGUAAACGGCGGCUGUAACUCUGACGGUCCUAAGGUAGCGAAAUUCCUUGGCAUUUAAUUGGUGUCCUGCAUGAAUGGCGUAACGACUGUCCCACUGUCUCCAACAUAAACUCAGUGAAAUUGAAAUUUUCGUGAAGAUGCGAAAUUCUUGCGGCUAGACGGAAAGACCCCGUGCACCUUUACUAUAGUUAUACAUUGUAAUGAAUUUUUUUUUGUGUAGAAUAAGUGGGAAGUUGUUAAUUUUAUACCUAUUCGCGCAAGCGAAUAAGUUAAACAUCGUUGAAAUACCACUCUGAAAAUUUUUCAUUACUUAUUGAUUAAGACAUUGUAUAAUGGGUAGUUUGACUGGGGCGGUCGCCUCCUAAAGAGUAACGGAGGCGUACAAAGGUAAAUUUGGAUUGAACUAGAACAAUUCUAAAGCAUAAUAGUAUAUAUUUGCCUGACUGUAAGAUUGACAAAUCAAACAGGGACGAAAGUCGGUUAUAGUGAUCCGGUGAUUCUGUGUGGAAAAGGUCACCGCUCAACGAAUAAAAGGUACGCCGGGGAUAACAGGCUAAUCACCCUCUAGAGACCCUAUCGACGGGGUGGUUUGGCACCUCGAUGUUGGAUUAUCGCAUCCUGGAGCUGUAAGUGGUUCCAAGGGUUUGGCUGUUCGCCAAUGAAGGCGGUACAUGAUCUGAGUUUAGAACGUCGUGAGACAGUUUGGUCCCUAUCUACCGUAGGCAUUAAAAAAUUGAGAAGAUUAAACCCUAGUACGAGAGGACCGGGAAAAGUAAACCUAUGGUGUAUCGAUUGUCACACCAGUGGCAUAGUC
rnacentral:rRNA from 1 species